CCACAUGCAUUGCAUGUAACCUCUCUCAAUGGGUCUGAUGUCAUAGUAGCACUCCAUCAGUUCCAUUUUGUCAGUUCUUGUCAAUGAAUGCUGCAGCAUU